GUUUAUGUCAUGUUCAGAAGUUCUCAAUAUAGGUGUAUUCUCUUUAUUUUUCAUCUCCUCAAGAUGGUCUUGAAUAGCUGUAAUCGAUUGAAUUCAUUGGAUCACCUCCUCCAGUAUGAGCAGUUGACAGGAUUUAUUUUCCAAACAGUCCCAUAAUCUCGAUCAUAGCAAUAACCAUGAAGUUUCUGAGCUAAUAAUAUUGAUCUUGAAUAGUUGAAUUCUUGAUUCUAGUAAUUAUCGGUAGAAUGUAUUACGAUGAAUACAUUUAACAAAAAAUGAUGCAAGCGAGCUAAAAAUCUACGAAUUUCGGCUCAAGAUUCUAGUACCAAUCAGUUGAGUAAUGAAUGCUUUCAACACCAAGCGACAUAGGUACAAAAUUUGGUUUAGGAAACAAAAUCCUAUACGUUUAUUACCACAGAACAUAAUAAUUACAAAUGGAUGGAUUAGAAACAAACGUUGAAUUGGGUCGUAUGCGGUGACCUAUAAGAACGUGGAGAUUUGUGCAGCGUUUAUUUCAGUACAAAUUAUCUCGAAUAUGUAUAUUUUUCUGUUCAGAUGUACUAAGUAUGCAUAUAAAGUUAGCAUUAUAAAGCGCAAAGAGAAGCGAAAACCGAGUAAUUUUUGUUUAAUUAAGAGUGGAAGGAGGCAUCGGCCAUGGCCAUACAAUUAACUCGUUUAAGGUUGUUAGAAUGUAAAAUGGUACAAGGUUACUAUACGUUAAAGAUAAAUAUAAAUAUCUAUUACCUUGUUUCGUACCAAAAUUAUUAGUGUUUAUUUUUUGCAAAAUUUUACUCAUUUACAUUGUGUAGGUAGGUACUUGUCAGGUCAUCUUGAGCACCCAGCUUGCAGUGAUAAAGAAAGUUGUCACGUUUGUAGGUUGUGAUGAUCAGGAUCAUCUAAAAUAAAAAAUAAAUAAAAUACUAGGUUCUAAAAAUGGGAUAAAAUAGAACAUUUUGUUCGGUGAGUAAUAUAAUCCAGACGAAACAGUGACGUAGUGGAGGGGGGGCAAAAGUAAAUAUAUUGGAAAAUGUAUUUCGAUUUUUUUUUAAUAAUAGGUAAUUAAUUUAAUACACUAUAAAUUAAAUUAAUAAAUUCAAAUUUGUAUUUCUAUAGAAAUAAAUUACUUAUUAAAUAAUUAUU